UUUGACAUCAGAGUUUCAUGUUCUUGGGACUUCAGACCUUGAGCUUCAUGCCAGCAGCUCCCCUGGUUCUCUGGUUGCAAAAGGUUUAUGGGUGUUCUGCAUGUGUGCCUGUGAAACACAUAUGUACCUGGUGCCUGAGGAGGUCAGAGAAGGUAUGGGAGCUCCUGGAAGUGAAGUUUGGAUAACCAUGAGCUGCCCACGUGGAUGCUGGGAAUCAAACUUGGAUCUUCUAAAAAACAAGCCACCUCUCUCACCCUGCAAGCUCUGGUUCUAAUGAUCACUUUGCCAAGUCUUCAAAGGAUGAAUUGUUUUUCUAUCAAUUAAUUUUUUUUUAAGUUGAGAUAUUUGAAAGCCAGUUUUGGUAAAAUACAUGGAAAAAAAUAUUUUUUAAAGCCAAAUGGUUAAG